CAGCCGCCGCGGUAAUACGAAGGGGGCGAGCGUUAUUCGGAAUCACUGGGCGUAAAGCGUGCGUAGGCGGUUCUAAAAGUUAGAAGUGAAAGCCCAGGGCUCAACCCUGGAAUUGCUUUUAAAACUAUAGGACUAGAAUUCGGGAGAGGAUAGCGGAAUUGUCAGUGUAGCAGUGAAAUGCGUAGAUAUCGACAGGAACACCAGUGGCGUAAGCGGCUAUCUGGACCGACAUUGACGCUGAGGCACGAAAGCGUGGGGAUCAAACAGGAUUAGAUACCCCAGUAGUCCCUGUCUCUUAUAC
rnacentral:rRNA from 1 species